AGUUUAACGGGAUAUUGGUCCGGUUCAAUAAGAAAGCAGCGUUCGAAAUCUAUUGGGGGCUCUGCUUUUUGAUUGAGCCGUGCCAAUAUCACGUGCCACUUC
rfam:Morus notabilis contig18364, whole genome shotgun sequence.